rnacentral:lncRNA from 1 species
GGGGAGCGCUCGCGGGAGCGGCGCGUGACGGUAGGCCUGCUCCAUUGGCGCUCAAACAGCCGCAGAGGGACGGUCGCUACCGGAUGUUUUCGUCCACUCAGGUUCAGUUCCUCCUUUACCUGCCCACGUGUCAAGGUGUCCUUGGGCAAGACGCUGAACUUCACAAUGCUCCCAGUGGCCAGCACAAAUGUGAAGACAAGAUUUUCUGAAGCUGCAGUUCAGCACAUGGCCACAAGGAGACGACAGGGACCACAAACCUGACUGCCAGGCUGACUCCCCCUUGUCCUUCAGGUCCACUCGAAGCUCGUAGUGUCCC